UACGUAGGGUGCAAGCGUUAAUCGGAAUUACUGGGCGUAAAGCGUGCGCAGGCGGUGAUGUAAGACAGGUGUGAAAUCCCCGGGCUUAACCUGGGAACUGCAUUUGUGACUGCAUCGCUGGAGUGCGGCAGAGGGGGAUGGAAUUCCGCGUGUAGCAGUGAAAUGCGUAGAUAUGCGGAGGAACACCGAUGGCGAAGGCAAUCCCCUGGGCCUGCACUGACGCUCAUGCACGAAAGCGUGGGAGCAAACAGGAU
rnacentral:rRNA from 1 species